AGGGUUUGAUCAUGGCUCAGAAUGAACGCUGGCGGCACGCUUAACACAUGCAAGUCGAACGAGAUCUUCGGAUCUAGUGGCAGACGGGUGCGUAACGCGUGGGAGCCUGCCCUUUAGUAAGGAAUAACUCAGGGAAACUUGUGCUAAUACCUUAUAAUCCCUUUGGGGGAAAGCUUUAUGCGCUAAUGGAUGGGCCCGCGUUAGAUUAGCUUGUUGGUGAGGUAAUGGCUCACCAAGGCUCCGAUCUACAGCUGGUCUGAGAGGAUGAUCAGCCACACUGGGACUGAGACACGGCCCAGACUCCUACGGGAGGCAGCAGUGGGGAAUAUUGGACAAUGGGGGCAACCCUGAUCCAGCGAUGCCGCGUGAGUGAUGAAGGCCCUAGGGUUGUAAAACUCUUUCGCCAGGGAAGAUAAUGACGGUACCUGGUAAAGAAGAUCCGGCUAACUCCGUGCCAGCAGCCGCGGUAAUAC
rnacentral:rRNA from 1 species